AUGGGGGUAGCUUGCCGGCCACAAUGCUCUUCUUACAGGGGCUAACUCUGUCGGGAAACAUGGAUUCCUGGGAUCCCAGAUCGGUUGGGCUGGAAAGGACCACGGAAAAGGAACUACCCACAUGUGCCCCUGCCAAGCCCUGAGCGGGGCAUAUUCCUGAACAUUGUCUUGCUUAAUCUUAACUCUGCUUCGAGAGCCUUCUCGUGAACUAUGACGGGAGACGAACAUGAUAUAUUCCUGGAUCGCCGGGCCAUCAUUCUCCUUCACCGGUGCCGUUCCCCUCUGGUGACAAAUUCUCCCCUUCGGCUAGGAACAAAAGAAGGCCAGAAAACUACUAUUCCCAUCGCACCUCAUAAGACCGACUACCAGUCAGGUGUACGCCCCUCUUUCGCCAUCUUGCUUGUAGUCCUCGUUUCUUUUCACCUUUCCAUUGUUCCUGACUAGUAGAAAUGGCAGCGGGAAGAUAGCAGAUGGACUGCGACUCCCGUCAGGUACCACACACGCGGAGGGUUGUGGACAAGAGGGCGUGUGAAUGCCUGGGAAGGAGGUCGGGUAGGGGGGGAGAAGGCCAUCUUGUUUUGUAGUCACCGUUCCCGCUCCUUCUCAAUGUUCCGCAACCGGGAGACCUCGGGGCAACCGGACUACUCAAACUCCCGGCAAGCCUUCGCAUCCGGCUGGCGCUCCCUCCGUCCAUCUUUUUUGUAGUCCCCGCCACCCCAGCGGCCCCUUGUUCCCACGGUAGCACUGGUGUCCGCGGGACUACGACUUCCGUCGUUCCCUGCGCGAGUUCGUCCUGGAAAGUGGAGGUGGUGCGGGCAGGAG